CACUUACACUCCCAACUUCUGCUGUCUGAAGGAAACCCGACUCCACGGAGCCGACUAGACUCAGCAGAAAGACGAACUGAAUGUAGAACCACCUUUCAAGGUUGUGACAGCAGUUGUGAAGGAUUCAGAAGACAGUUAUUCGAAUCUUAUCCCACACUGAGUGAGGGUGGUGGAUUUUAACUAAUGAAGAUUUCAGGAUCUAUGAGAAGCCAGAUCUUGGCUGUUAUUCCUUGCCCUAAUGAGGGGUACUCAGCAAAAUAUUUAAGGGACCCAGAAACCCAAAUUUGGCUCUGUCAUUAUCUAUGUAAGGCCGCUACAAAGAGGUCUUAAUAUGGAUCAGGUAAGAGCUUAUUGUUUUUUUCUUUGAUUGUUUCUUAGUGCUGGUAAAUUCUUAUUAUUCAUCCAUCUUCUUUGGUGGGUUUUCAGGGUUCCACAUGUUCAUUCAGCUGUAGUGUAACAUUGCAUUUGCAGUGAAUGACGUGUCUGCUGCAAUUCAUUUAGUAGGUUCCUGGGCUGUCCUUAUCCACUGGGCCCCUGAUGAAGUGCCUCUUUUGUGAGAAAGACUUUUCCUUCUCAGAAAUAAAGUCACAGUGACGGCUGUAGCAGCAGAAUGUGAAAUCAUGGCAAAUUUGUUCAGGGAGGCUGUAUUGAAGCAGCAUGGAACUGCUAAACCACUCCAUCUAAGAAUGGAUUUGCGAGACAGCAUGGAGAAUAGAGAGAGGGACAUUUUGUCAUUUUAUAAAAUGUCCAAAGUAGAAUGGGCCUGUCCUUUAAAAUGCACACUUGAAGAAAUCACUGACAGAACUUUUAAUGUUUGAAGGAGAACCUGACCAUUUAAUUCCCUCCACAUCUGAGUUCCUUCUCGAGAGUGACAUGUUUCACGUUGCUGGGCGAAUGAUUGGACAUUCUUUCCUGCACAGUGGUCCAAGCUUAGCUGGAUUGAGUCCCGCAAUUAUCCAUGUGUUGCUUGGAGGUGCACCAGAAACCGCCAAUCUGGAGAGUCACGAUUGUCCUGAUAUUGAUGUUCACGAAACUGUCAAAUUAAAGGAGUCCAAAGCAGUUCUCAGUGAAGAAGACACAAGCAUAAUACUGCAAUUGGCAUUAAGCUGGGAUCUUCCAGGGAUGGCAGAAGAAAAUCGGCAUUGGCUAAUGGACAAACUCCUCCUUCACGCU